GGGGAAUUAUCUCGUAAUUACGAGAUACUAUCCCUAAUUACGCUCUCUAGCAUCAGGAUCCGCAGUGGAUCCGCUUUCGGUCCGCCAAAUCCGCCCCACAGUCCGUCCGCUUUGCGGAUCCGCUGCAUAUUUGUUCCGUAUUCGCUUUCUGACUGUUGCUAACCCUAACCCUUGGAUGGCCUGCUGUUACAGAGAGAAUAUGCGGUUAAAUCAUCUUAGAUCCGCACUGUGAACGUACUUUUAACACAAUACUUUGUUUUUGACACAAUGAUUUGUACUAUCAAUGCGCGGAUCCGCGGCUAAACCGGCUUUCCACCUGAAUGGAAAGAAGCAGCAUCCACCUGUUGUCCGCGGAUUUAACUUUUUGACACGUGCAGUAGGAAAGUUAGCGACAGUAGCAGCUGACGUGAUGAAGACGAUGUGAGGUCAGGAGUCAGGAUAACUCCGUCUCUUGAGAUGACAUCAGGAGCCCCUGUCCUUCUGCUGAGUGUCCCCAUCAGGAGCCCGGCACGCUGAUCAGAAUUUCAGAAUAUACUAUGGUUAAUAAGAAGAUGGACAUAACAGCAUUAUAAAGACCCUCUGGAGGAUUCCCUCUGCUGGGCCAAGUUCCAAAAAUGUAGAGACAGACCCUCUAACAUGCUGUGGUUGAGUUUAAAGACUGACCCUCUGUAAGUGCACAGAUCUCUCCAAUCAGAUGCUGUGAGAAAGGGGAAGUCCAGAGCUGGACACUGACAGACUGGAUCUUCACCAGUAGGACUGAAGAGGAGCCAGACUCACUACACCUCUGCCUCAAAACCUCUGCCUCAGACUGAAGCUAAAGACAGAGGCUCUGAAGCUCCCACACUGCACACUCUAUAAGAACAACCAUCCGUCUAAUUGUACUGUGGUGGUAAACACAAGUUAAGUUUUAGUUUUAAACAGUAUGGUAUGGCUACACUCUGUCUCAUCUGUCCAGGCUUUUACUCAUAUAGCUUAUAUUUGUUUUUUGCCAUUUAAAAAAAAAACAAAAACUUUGCUUAACUUGAACUAUUUUUAGUAAAAACUGUAAAUUGUCAUUUUCAUAUUAAGAAUGAAGCAUUGGUUAACUCAAAGGGUAUAUAAGUCCUAUAACAUUAAUAAUAAUUAUUCAUGUCCUAAGAUUUCUAAUUAAUGAUUUAUAUAAAU